AGUGAACGCUGGCGGUAGGCCUAACACAUGCAAGUCGAACGGCAGCACAGGAGAGCUUGCUCUCUGGGUGGCGAGUGGCGGACGGGUGAGGAAUGCAUCGGAAUCUACUCUUUCGUGGGGGAUAACGUAGGGAAACUUACGCUAAUACCGCAUACGACCUACGGGUGAAAGCCGGGGACCUUCGGGCCUGGCGCGAAUGAAUGAGCCGAUGCCCGAUUAGCUAGUUGGCGGGGUAAGAGCCCACCAAGGCGACGAUCGGUAGCUGGUCUGAGAGGAUGAUCAGCCCCACUGGGACUGAGACACGGUCGAGACUCCUACGCGAGGCAGCAGUGAGGAAUAUUGGACGAUGAGCGCAAGCCUGAUCCAGCCAUACCGCGUGGGUGAAAAAGGCCUUCGGGUUGUAAAGCCCUUUUGUUGGGAAAGAAAAGCAGCUGGUUAAUACCCGGUUGUUCUGACGGUACCCAACGAAGAAGCACCGGCUAACUUCGUG
rnacentral:rRNA from 1 species